AUUGAACGCUGGCGGCAGGCCUAACACAUGCAAGUCGAGCGGAUGAAGGGAGCUUGCUCCUGGAUUCAGCGGCGGACGGGUGAGUAAUGCCUAGGAAUCUGCCUGGUAGUGGGGGAUAACGUCCGGAAACGGGCGCUAAUACCGCAUACGUCCUGAGGGAGAAAGUGGGGGAUCUUCGGACCUCACGCUAUCAGAUGAGCCUAGGUCGGAUUAGCUAGUUGGUGGGGUAAAGGCCUACCAAGGCGACGAUCCGUAACUGGUCUGAGAGGAUGAUCAGUCACACUGGAACUGAGACACGGUCCAGACUCCUACGGGAGGCAGCAGUGGGGAAUAUUGGACCAUGGGCGAAAGCCUGAUCCAGCCAUGCCGCGUGUGUGAAGAAGGUCUUCGGAUUGUAAAGCACUUUAAGUUGGGAGGAAGGACAGUAAGUUAAUACCUUGCUGUUUUGACGUUACCAACAGAAUAAGCACCGGCUAACUUCGUG
rnacentral:rRNA from 1 species